GACCAUCCUCCAAGGCUAAAUACUCGUGAUCGACCGAUAGCGUACUAGUACUGUGAAGGAAAGGUUAAAAGAACCCCGGGAGGGGAGUGAAAUAGAUUCUGAAACCGCAUGCAUACAAACAGUAGGAGCCCUUCGGGGUGACUGCGUACCUUUUGCAUAAUGGGUCAGCGACUUAUGUUAUGUGGCAAGCCUAACCGACUAGGGGAGGCGCAGCGAAAGCGAGUCCGAACAGGGCGAUUCAGUCGCAUGGCAUAGACCCGAAACCAGAUGAGCUAACCAUGGCCAGGCUGAAGGUGUGGUAACACACACUGGAGGGCCGAACCUACUGGUGUUGCAAAACCAGAGGAUGAGCUGUGGUUAGGGGUGAAAGGCUUAACAAAUCUGGAGAUAGCUGGUUCUCCCCGAAAACUAUUGAGGUAGUGCCUUGUAUAUGAGCUUCUGGGGGUAGAGCACUGUUAUAGCUAGGGGGACAUGGCGUCUUACCAAACUAUGGCAAACUCCGAAUACCAGAAAGCUUCGUACAGGAGACAGAGCACCGGGUGCUAACGUCCGGACUCAAAAGGGAAUCAACCCAGACCGCCAGCUAAGGUCCCUAAUAUCAGCUAAGUGGAAAACGAAGUGGAAAGGCUAAAACAGUCAGGAAGUUGGCUUAGAAGCAGCCAUCCUUCAAAGAAAGCGUAAUAGCUCACUGAUCGAGUCCUUCCGCGCGGAAGAUGUAACGGGGCUAAGUUGAUAACCGAAGCUGCGGAUUCAUACUUUUAGUGUGAGUGGUAGGGGAGCGUUCUGUAAGCCUGCGAAGGUGGAUCGUAAGGUCUGCUGGAGGUAUCAGAAGUGCGAAUGCUGACAUGAGUAACGAUAAAGCGGGUGAAAAGCCCGCUCGCCGCAAACCCAAGGUUUCCUGCUCUACGUUAAUCGGAGCAGGGUGAGUCGGUUCCUAAGGCCAGGCUGAGAAGCGUAGCUGAUGGAAAUCAGGUUAAUAUUCCUGAACCGGCGUUGAAUGCGAUGGGGUGACGGAGCAGCCAGAGUGGACCGGGUGUUGGAUGUCCCGGCUUCCGAGCGAUGGGUGCCUGCAGGCAAAUCCGCAGGCGUAUACCCAGGACGAAGGAUCGGGUCUUCUUUUGAAGACGAAGCCACUGGAAGCGCUUCCAGGAAAAACCUCUAAGCUUCAGUUCAACGGCGACCGUACCGUAAACCGACACAGGUGGGUGAGCUGAAUAUGCUCAGGCGCUUGAGAGAACUCGGGAGAAGGAACUCGGCAAAUUGACACCGUAACUUCGGAAGAAGGUGUGCCUUUGUAGCUUGAUGGGAGAGAAACCCAAAGGGCGAAGAGGUCUCAGAGAAUCGGUGGCUGUAACUGUUUACUAAAAACACAGCGCUCUGCAAAGAUGAAAGUCGACGUAUAGGGCGUGAUGCCUGCCCGGUGCUGGAAGAUUAAUUGAUGGGGUGCAAGCUCCUGAUCGAAGUCCCAGUAAACGGCGGCCGUAACUAUAACGGUCCUAAGGUAGCGAAAUUCCUUGUCGGGCAAGUUCCGACCUGCACGAAUGGCAUAAUAAUGGCCACACUGUCUCCUCCCGAGACUCAGUGAAAUUGAAAUGUUUGUGAUGAUGCAAUCUCCCCGCGGCUAGACGGAAAGACCCCAUGAACCUUAACUGUAGCUUUGCAUUGGACUUUGAACCGAUCUGUGUAGGAUAGGCGGGAGGCUUUGAAGAAUGGACGCCAGUUCAUUCGGAGCCGUCGUUGAAAUACCGCCCUGAUUUGUUUGAGGUUCUAACCUGGGCCAGUAAUCCUGGCUGGGGACCGUGCAUGGUGGGCAGUUUGACUGGGGCGGUCUCCUCCUAAAGGGUAACGGAGGAGUGCGAAGGUACGCUAAUCACGGUCGGAAAUCGUGAGGAUACUGCAAUGGGAAAAGCGUGCCUGACUGCGAGACAGACAAGUCGAGCAGAUGCGAAAGCAGGUCAUAGUGAUCCGGUGGCUUCUGCAUGGAAGGGCCAUCGCUCAACGGAUAAAAGGUACUCUGG
rnacentral:rRNA from 1 species